UACGGGGGGGGCAAGCGUUGCUCGGAAUCACUGGGCGUAAAGCGCACGUAGGCGGACUCUUAAGUCGGUGGUGAAAUCCUGGAGCUCAACUCCAGAACUGCCUUCGAUACUGAGAGUCUCGAGUCCGGGAGAGGUGAGUGGAACUGCGAGUGUAGAGGUGAAAUGCGUAGAUAUUGGGAAGAACACCUGAGGCGAAGGCGGGUUGCUGGGCCGACACUGACGCUGAUGCGCGAAAGCCAGGGGAGCGAACGGG
rnacentral:rRNA from 1 species